rnacentral:lncRNA from 1 species
AUGUUUCAAAAAGUUCUCCCAAGUCAUUGCAUCCUUACUCAAACCCGUCUUUAAAACCCAAAAACUUUCAGAAUAACAUUGUUUUCUUUUGCAAAAAAUUUUUUUGGUAGGGCUAAAGGUAUGGGGAGAUUAGACUGUACUGAAAAUACACUAUACUGGUGACUCGUCAGACUCAUGCAUUAUCUAAAGCACUAAAAGCAAAAUAAGCAACUAAAAAG